AUGGCUGGGACAAGUCAUAAGUCAAAACAGGAUGGACCUGCUGGAUCAAGCCAUGACGAUCUUGCAUCUCAUGGGGAUGAAGAGCAUCAAACACAGCCACGGAGCAGUGCACCAAUAACUGGGUACAAGCGUAUGAGAACUAAAGCAACAGCUGUAAGGGGGAAGCGCCCUGACGAUAUCAUUAGUAAUGACAAUAGCAACGAGAGCCAAGCUGCAGAUGCUGGGAAUAAAAAUGUCGAAUGUGCAGACGUCGAGCAACCUCCAAAAGCAAAACGCCAGAAGACGGGAGGAACUAAGGAUCGUAGGAACAGGGCAUCUCCUGCAAGGCUAUUCAAGUUGAACAAGGACUUGGUUCCUGACCAAAAGGGUGUCAUCAUCAGAAAAGAAUUUGGCGGCAUUCUGGACCUUGCAGCUAGUAGCAUGCCCGGAGAUUUUAGCCAGUGGAUAAUGAAGCAUUACAACCCAGAGAUUUCACAGAUAGUCAUUCCAGAAAGGGGGAAGAUUCCUGUAGAUGCCGCUAGUGUCCGUAGGAUAUGGGGUUUGCCCAACAGGGGCAGGAAGCUGUUGUACCUAGACUCUUUGGAUGUUGAUGAGCCAAUCCCGAACUUGGUACCAAAGGUUUCUGUCUGA
rnacentral:rRNA from 1 species